GGGUUGUGGAGGGGACUCUCCCGAGCUGGUGGCCGCGAUGAUGAGCGCGGGGAGUUGCAGUCAAAAUUUUUUAGUGUCGAUAUUGGCCCUAUCACUUUACGAUACAGGCGCGCAAUUGAGAGACAUUCUAGUACGAGGUUGGUAUUUGGUGGGAGGAGCGCGGUUUUUAAUUUGAUGGGGGGCGACAGGGAUGGGCGGGAUAGUGCUUCUGAACCUGGAGUGUGCGAGGUCCCAGCGAGGGAUGGCGCGCUCGAACAGGACAUUAAGUGUGUUGGAUGCGCGUCGGGAGCACUAGCAGGAGGGUUGGCCGGGCACAGAAGUGAUAUGGAGAGGGGGGCGACAUCCACAGCUCUGGCGCGGAGAGCCCUGAUGACGGAUAUGUCGAUGGGGUGGGAGGGGGCCAGGAUUUUGCAGGAGCGGCGGGGCCCGGGAA
rnacentral:lncRNA from 1 species